UACAGGGGGGGGCAAGCCGUUGUUCGGAAUUACUGGGCGUAAAGGGCUCGUAGGUGGCCAACUAAGUCAGACGUGAAAUCCCUCAGCUUAACUGGGGAACUGCGUCUGAUACUGGAUGGCUUGAGUUUGGGAGAGGGAUGCGGAAUUCCAGGUGUAGCGGUGAAAUGCGUAGAUAUCUGGAGGAACACCGGUGGCGAAGGCGGCAUCCUGGACCAACACUGACACUGAGGAGCGAAAGCCAGGGGAGCAAACGGG
rnacentral:rRNA from 1 species